rnacentral:lncRNA from 10 species
GGACGGAGCGAGACUCCAUCUCGAAAAAAAAAAAAGGAAAGUUUUACCUCAGAAAUCUUCAUUUAAGAAUCAGUAACAACAUUGAGAGUCUCCUUUUAAAUGAUAGUUAGGCUUUUCUGUGUGUUCGUUCAUAGGCAUUUUACUGAUCUGAGACGUGAAAUGUAAAGUUGUGGAAUAAGAUACGUAGGAAGUGUAAAUAUAUAUGACCUUGGAAAGUUGGAUUAACAUCCAUUAAAGGCUGAUGAACUAGUCCUUUCUAUAAUGAGUAUCUGAGACACCGAACUCUGAACUCUGCAUGCACCAUGAAGCCCAA